GGUUAAUGCUGUCAGAGCCCCAUUUGCUUUGGGUGAAAUUCAAGAAGACAGCCUCCUUCUGAACUUGAGUUUCCUUGAAGAAGAAAAAGCUUUAUAACCUCAAAUAUUAAGCAAGAAAGAAUGAAAAUAAGUGAAUUAAGAAUCUAACUCAAGGAGUUGAAGAAUGAACAAUAAAAUAAA